rnacentral:lncRNA from 1 species
GGGUUACUUUCAAGCUGGUUUUUGAUCCUGAAGAAAUUGGGUCUGCUACUAGCAGCCUGGGUGAUCAGCUGGGCCAGGUGAGUGAGAGAGAGACCACCGGGGUGUGCAGGGCCAGGACCAGGACAGGAAUGCAGGCAAGCAGGGGACCAGGUGCAUCUGGGGCAUUGUCAAUGUCACCUGGCACAUUAAGCAUUGGACAAUGCUACUCUUUUAAGAAGAGAGAAUUAAUAGACCUGUGAUUUCAUUGGACAGAGAACUCCCUACUGUUGAAACUCCUUCAAAUUCAGAUCAGACAACUGAGGUCCGCAGUGGUGAAGUGUCUUGCCCCAAGUCACAGAGUAGUACCUGGAGAAACAGAAGUAUUACCUAUGCCCUCUGAUUCCAAAUUUAUUGCUCUAUUUUUCAUAACAUGCAAUUAUGUUAGACUAGAAUUAACUAGUCGAUCAUGGUAAAGUAGUUGGGAUUUGAAUAUGUAAGUAAAUUUAUUUACUUUCUCCUUCCUGUGUCUCGUGGAUUGACUUCUCAUAGAAGACAGUUUCUGUUAAGGAAGAAAUUCAGCCCUCUAAUGUCAAGCUCACAUUGACUUUCCUAUGUCUCAGGAGAACAUUUCUAACUGUCAGAAUGUGAACAACUAAUAACCCCAAAGAUUCUUUUUUGACAGCCCCUGGAGCUUAAAAAAAUCAUGUCAGAGACACAUUUCUGGCAUGUCAAGAAGCCACUAUCAUGAUGUAACUCAUUCUAUCCAACGUCAGCAUUUCCAGGGCAAGGUAUAGCAACUAUUACUGCAAUACCGUGGGGCCAUUUGAACAUUUCCAUAUUUGUGUGUAAAGGCAAGUUACAGGAGAUAAGAGAGUUGGGUUUAGAAGCAGAAACACAAAGACUCAAAUUGUGCUUUUGUUACUUAGAAUUCUGUUACCCAGGGCAAGUGACUGAACCCCUGUCUCUUAGUUAUAGUUGCUAAGACUACUAAGCUAGUGAUGCCAAG